GGGCAUGACCUUGUUGAUGAACAAAUCCACAGAGCCCUGCGCCCACCUCCUGAUCUCUUCCAUCGGUGUUGUGGGCACCGCGGAGCAGAACCGCAGCCACAGCUCCAGCUUCUUCAAGUUCCUCACCGAGGAGCUGUCCCUGGACCAGGACAGCGUUGACAUCCUGCUAUAGCUAAGCUACAGGAACAAGGAAGGCCCCGAUCACUAAGACCCCAAGACCUACCAUCCUAAGCCCUUUGGAUGUCUUCAGAGUUGCUCUACGAGGCCUGAAUGGCGGAGGGCGAGCUGGAUGCUCAUCCCAAACACCCCUCCUUGCAGAGUCAGACCGGUAGAUUCCAGGUUCUCCGUUCUCACAAUGGUCGUUCCUCAUUCCCGUGUCAAAGACAACUCAUUUAUUUGAACGUGAGUUUUUACCUCAUUCCUACCGUCCUUGGCCUUCUACGGCAUCAUGGGCAUUGGAUUUGGCUUCUGAAAAAUGGGACUUGGCUGAUCAUGGAAAUGGGAUGUUCCCUGUUUUCAUGGCUUUGACUCUAU
rnacentral:lncRNA from 1 species